CUGUGCAUGAGCUCUGGGGGCCUUUUCUUGUUUGGUAAAAAAAAAAAAACCAAGGUGCUGCUGUUCAUGCCCUCUAAGUUGUAUAAACCUUUUCUGCCCUCUCCCCUAGCCCUUCUCUAUCCUCCUGAGCAAGUACUUUAUUCUCUUUUGUUUAGUUGUUAUUUUUGUUUGUUUUGAGACAGGGUCUCACUCUGUUACCCAGGAUCACUUGAGCCUGGGAGGUUGAGGCUGCAGUGACCUAUGAUCAUGCCACUGCACUCCAGCCUGGGCAACCGGGUGAGACCCUGUCUCGAAAAUAAUAAAAUAAAAAGUAAAAGGAGCCCUGGGGAAAUGGAGACAGUGGACAAAGCAGGCUGGGGCACCAGGUGUGCAUGUGGGUGUGAGUCUGUCAUGAGAGCUGUCCUGAAUGCCCUUAAUGCCACUGAAGUAUAUGCUGGAAAACAGUGACAACAGUGGAUUUUGUUAUAUAGACAAUUAAAAGAGAAAUAACACCCA
rnacentral:sRNA from 1 species